rnacentral:rRNA from 20 species
CGCCAUUGGAAUAAGAUCAAAGGUUCUGCCUGCCCGGUGACUUUUUAGUUAAACGGCUGCAGUACUCUGACUGUGCAAAGGUAGCAUAAUCAUUUGUCCAUUAAUUGUGGACUGGAAUCAACGGCUAGACGACAGGAAAGCUGUCUCUUUAUAUAUUGUUUGAAUUUAGCUUUAAGGUGAAGAGACCUUAAUAAGUUAGUGGGACGAGAAGACCCCGUGGAGCUUCAGCUUUUUUUAAGGUUAAGCUUAAGUGAAAGCUUUAGUUGGGGCAACUGUUUAUAUAGUGUAAAACAUAGAUAAAUAUUUAUAGUUGAUUUUAAUCUUAAAUCGACCUAAAACUUUUUAAUCAAUAGAAAAAGUUACCCCGGGGAUAACAGCGUAAUUCUCCUUGAAAGCACGUAUUGACAGGGGAGUUUGCGACCUCGAUGUUGGAUCAAGAUUACCUAGAGGUGCAGCCGCUUCUGAAGGUUGGUUUGUUCAACCAUUAAAAUCUU